AGGAAGGCGAUUUCAUCACUCAUCAUGCUUGUUACUUGGGAAGUGUGGAAAGAGAGAAACGCGAGGGUGUUUCAGCAUGUAUGUAGGUUGCCAAACGUGUUGGUUGAGACUAUUAAAGCAGAGGCGACGCUCUGGAUUGUCGCAGGGGCGAAGCAUUUGGGUUUUUUGAUGUCGCGAUAG
rnacentral:rRNA from 1 species